GACGAACGCUGGCGGCGUGCUUAACACAUGCAAGUCGAACGGUAAGGCCCUUUCGGGGGUACACGAGUGGCGAACGGGUGAGUAACACGUGGGUGAUCUGCCCUGCACUUUGGGAUAAGCCUGGGAAACUGGGUCUAAUACCGGAUAGGACUACGCGAUGCAUGUCGUGUGGUGGAAAGCUUUUGCGGUGUGGGAUGGGCCCGCGGCCUAUCAGCUUGUUGGUGGGGUGAUGGCCUACCAAGGCGACGACGGGUAGCCGGCCUGAGAGGGUGUCCGGCCACACUGGGACUGAGAUACGGCCCAGACUCCUACGGGAGGCAGCAGUGGGGAAUAUUGCACAAUGGGCGCAAGCCUGAUGCAGCGACGCCGCGUGGGGGAUGACGACCUUCGGGUUGUAAACCCCUUUCAGCACAGACGAAGCGUAAGUGACGGUAUGUGCAGAAGAAGCACCGGCCAACUACGUG
rnacentral:rRNA from 1 species